rnacentral:rRNA from 1 species
GACGAACCGUGCGGACGUUAUUCGGAAUCAUUGGGCUUAAAGGUCGCGUAGGCGGGCGACCGCGUCGAGUGCUGAAAGCCCCCGGCUCAACCGGGGAACGGGCCUCGAAACGGGUCGCCUGGAGGCGAGGCGGGGGACCUGGAACGUCCGGUGGAGCGGUGAAAUGCGUUGAGAUCGGACGGAACGCCGACGGCGAAAGCAAGGUCCUGGACUCGUCCUGACGCUGAGGCGCGAAAGCCAGGGGAGCGAACGGG